rnacentral:rRNA from 1 species
GGGGAAUUUUCCGCAAUGGGCGCAAGCCUGACGGAGCAACGCCGCGUGAGGGAGGAAGGCCUGUGGGUUGUAAACCUCUUUUCUCAAGGAAGAACACAAUGACGGUACUUGAGGAAUCAGCAUCGGCUAACUCCGUGCCAGCAGCCGCGGUAAGACGGAGGAUGCAAGCGUUAUCCGGAAUUAUUGGGCGUAAAGCGCCCGUAGGUGGUUAUAAAAGUCUGUUGUUAAAGCCCACAGCUCAACUGUGGAUCGGCAAUGGAAACUGUAUGACUUGAGUGUGGUAGGGGUAGAGGGAAUUCCUAGUGUAGCGGUGAAAUGCGUAGAUAUUAGGAAGAACACCAGUGGCGAAGGCGCUCUACUGGGCCAUAACUGACACUGAUGGACGAAAGCUAGGGGAGCGAAAGGGAUUAGAUACCCCUGUAGUC